GCCAUUUCUUUUUUUUCUUUUUUUUUUUAAGAUAAGAGUCUUUCUCUUGUCACCCAGGCUGGAGUGCAAUGGUGCGAUUUUGGCUCACUGCAACCUUCACCUUCUGGGUUCAAGCAAUUCUCCUGCCUCAGCCUCCCGAGUAGCUGGGAUUACAGGUGCCCGCCACCAUACCCAGCUAAUUUUUGUAUUUUUAGUAGAGAUGGGAUUUCACCAUGUUGGCCAGGCUCCUCUGGAGCUCCUGACCUCAGGCAAUCUGCCUGCCUCAGCCUCCCAAAAUUCAAGGAGUACAGAUGUGAACAACCACGCCCGGCCUCCAUUUCUUUUUUGUAGUCUUUAAUAAACAGCUGCUAUCAUUGCAGACUUGCUGUUUAGGCACUUAGGAAUUUUUCACUAGAAGGCAUGUAAAUAAAGACCAUGGGCAAUUGUAAUGAAUUUCGCCUUCAUUCUUUGACUACAUGACUGUCCCCAGAGCUGUAACUUUAUUGAAUUUUUUAGAAGCCAUUUAGCUAGCAACUGAGCCUAACCAGCCACUCACUGUCAUUAUUCAGUGCUCUUUUAUUAUUGUCUAUUUCUCCUCCAACUUGGCUACACUCACAAAGUGAUAAAAACUUGCAUUUGUUUUCUUUCCUUUUCAGAGACAGCGUCUUGCUCUGUUGCUUAGGCUACAGUACAGUGACAUGAUCAUGGUUCACUGUAGCCUCAAACUCCUGGGCUCAAGUGGUUCUCUCACUUCAGUCUCCCAAGUAGCUGGGACUACAGACAUGUGCCACCAUGUCCAGCUAAUUUUUUAUCAUAGAGACGGGAUCUUGCCAUGUUGCUCCGACUGGGCUCAAAACUCCUGACCUCAAGUGAUCCUCCUGCCUCAGCCUCCCAAAGUGCUGGGAUUACAGGCAGGCAUGACCACCUGUGCCCAGCCCCCUAUUAUUAUUAUUUUAAAUAAUAGCUUUAUUAAAAUAUUCACAUACCAUUCACUUUAUUUAUUGAAAUCUGCAAUUCAGUAGGUUUUAGAAUAUUCACAGAGCUGUGCAUCGAUCACCACAGUCACUUUUAGAACCUUUCAUUACCCUAUAGAGAAAUCCAUACCCCUUAGCCACUACCUCCUACUCUCCCCACCUACCUUUGCCCCCAGCCUUAGGCAACCAUUGAUUAAUUUUUUUGUCACUAUAGAUUUGCCUAAUCUGGACAAAUAGAAUUGUACAAUAUGUGAUCUUUUGUGGCUUUUUUUCCCUCUUAGCACAGUGUUUUCAAAGUUCCUUUAUGUCAUAGUGUGUAUCAAUAUUUCAUUCCUUCUAUGGCAGUAUUCCAUGGUAGAGACACACUGCAUUUUGUUUAUCUGUUCAUCAGUUGGUGGAUAUUUGGGUUGUUUCCAUGUAUUCCAUGUAUUGGUCAUUAUGAAUAAUGCUGCUAUGAAGAUUGUUGUACAAGUUUUUGUGUGGACAUAUAUUUUUAUUUUUCUGGGAUAUAUGCCUAGGAGUGAAAUUGUUGCAUUAUAGGAUGACUGUACAUUUAGCCUUUUGAGAAACUGCCAGAAUGUUUUCUAACGUGGCUAUACCAGUUGGGUGCAAUGGCUCACACCUGUAAUCCCAGCUACUCAGGAGGCUCAGCUAGGAGGAUGGCUUGAGCCCGUGAAUUCAAGACCAGCCUGGGCAAGAUAGUGAAACCCCGUCUUGAUUUUUUAAAAAUCCAAUUAAAAUGACAAGAAAAGAAAUACCCAAACAAAAUGGUUACACAAUUUUAUGUUCCCACCAGUAAUGUUUGUGGGUUCCAAUUCCUCCACAUCUUCACUGACAUUUUUUUUUUCUAGAUAGGGGCUUGCUCUGUCUCUCAGGCCGCAGUGCAAUGAUGCCAUCACAGUUCACUGCAGCCGUGACCUCCCAGGCACAAGUGAUUCUCUCAUCUCAGCCUCCUGGGUAGCUGAAAAUUACAGGUGUACGCCACCAUGCCUGGCUAAUUUUUAGAUUUUUCUGUAGUGGUGGGAUUUUACCAUGUUGCCCAGGCUGGUCUCAUACUCCUGGCCUCAAGUGAUCUGCCCACCUCAGCCUCCCUAAGUUCUGGAAUUACAGGCUGCCACCAUGCCCGGCCUUCACCAACAUUUGCCAUUAUCUGUUUUUUUUUUCUUCCUUUAUACCUUAAAGCAGUAUAAGAACAAGUGUCUUCAAUUAUAGGAAACAGUAUAAUCCCAGGGCUUUGGGAGGCUAAGACAGGAAGAUGUCUUGAUGCCAGGAGUUUUUUUUGUUGUUGUUGUUUUUGUUUUUGUUGUUGUUGUUGUUGUUGACAGUCUCGCUCUGUCACCCAGGGUGGAGUGCAGUGAUGGGGUCCACUGCAACCUCCACCUCCCAGGUUCAAGUGAUUCUCCUGCCUCAGCCUCCCGAGUAGGUGAGACUACAGGCACACGCCACUACUGCCCAGCUGAUUUUUGUAUUUUUGAUAGAGUCAGAGUUUCACCGUGUUGGCCAGGCUGGUCUCGAACUCCAGACUUCAGGUGAUUUGCCUGCCUUAGCUUCCCAAAGUGCUGCGAUUACAAGCAUGAGCCACCAUGCCCAGCCUGAUGCCAGGAGUUUUAGACUAGCCUGGGCAACCUAGCAAGACCUUGUCUCUACAGAAUAUUUAAAAAUUAGCCAAAUGUGGUGGUGCCUGUGUAUAGUCUCUCUCCCUCUCUCUUUUUUUUUUCUAACUUUUUGUGACAUGGUCUGGCUCUGUCACCCAGGCUGAAGUGCAGUGGUGUGAUCAUGGCUCACUGCAGCCUGAAACUCCUGGGAUCAAGUGAUCAAUCCUCCCACCUCAUCCUACCAAGUAGUAGGGACCACAGGUGUGUGCCACCCAGGUCUUGCUAUGUUGUCCAGGCUGGUCUUGAGCUCCUGGCCUCAAGCAAUCCUCUCACCUUGGCCCCCCACAGUGCAAGGAUUACAGGUAUGAGCCACCAUGCCUGGCCCCUACCCUGCCUACUGAGAACCAAAGGAAGGAUCCAAAUUCUCCUUAGCUCAACUCGAGCCAUUUCCUGAUUGCUUCAUCAGCGAGGAGCUGGUUAUUGGGCUGUCCAGGCCUCCCAAGCAGCACAGAAAUGAGAAACAGGACCUUGCCCUGUCACUCAGGAUGGAGUUCAGUGGUCCUAUCAUGGCUCAUUAUAGCCUCAAACUCCCAGGCUCAAGCAAUCCUACCAUGUCAGCCUUCCCAGUAGCUGGGACUACAGCUGGAUCUACCAUGAAAGACUUGUGAAUCCAGGAAGAGAGACUGACUGGGCAACAUGUUAUUCAGGUACAAAAAGAUUUGGACUGUAACUUAAAAAUGAUCAAAUUAUGUUUCCCAUGCAUCAGGUGCAAUGGGAAGCUCUUCUGGAGAGUGAGAGAAGCUUCCAGUUAAGGUGACAUUGAAGCCAAGUCCUGAAAGAUGAGGAAGAGUUGUAUGAGAGUGGGGAGGGAAGGGGGAGGUGGAGGGAUGGGGAAUGGGCCGGGAUGGGAUAGCGCAAACUGUCCGGGAAGGGAAACCAGCACUGUACAGACCUGAACAACGAAGAUGGCAUAUUCUGUUCAGGGAAUGGUGAAUUAAGUGUGGCAGGAAUGCUUUGUAGACACAGUAAUUUGCUUGUAUGGAAUUUUGCCUGAGAGACCUCAUUGCAGUUUCUGAUUUUUUGAUGUCUUCAUCCAUCACUGUCCUUGUCAAAUAGUUUGGAACAGGUAUAAUGAUCACAAUAACCCCAAGCAUAAUAUUUCGUUAAUUCUCACAGAAUCACAUGUAGGUGCCACAGUUAUCCCCAUUUUAUGAAUGGAGUGAUGAAAACCUUAGGAAUAAUGAAUGAUUUGCGCAGGCUCACCUGGAUAUUAAGACUGAGUCAAAUGUUGGGUCUGGUCUGACUUUAAUGUUUGCUUUGUUCAUGAGCACCACAUAUUGCCUCUCCUAUGCAGUUAAGCAGGUAGGUGACAGAAAAGCCCAUGUUUGUCUCUACUCACACACUUCCGACUGAAUGUACGUAUGGAGUUUCUACACCAGAUUCUUCAGUGCUCUGGAUAUUAACUGGGUAUCCCAUGACUUUAUUCUGACACUACCUGGAGUUAGCACAGACCCCACAAGUUAGGGGCUCAGUCCCACGAGGCCAUCCUCACUUCAGAUGACAAUGGCAAGUCCUAAGUUGUCACCAUACUUUUGACCAACCUGUUACCAAUCGGGGGUUCCCGUAACUGUCUUCUUGGGUUUAAUAAUUUGCUAGAACAGUUUACGGAACUCAGAAAAACAGUUUAUUUUCUUUUUUUCUGAGAGAGAGGGUCUUAUUUUGUUGCCCAGGCUGGUGUGCAAUGGUGCAGUCAUAGCUCAUUGCAGCCUUGAUUGUCUGGGUUCCAGUGGUUCUCCCACCUCAGCCUCCCUAGUAGCUGAGACUACAUGCCUGCACCACCACAUCUGGCUAGUUUCUUUUAUUUUUUGUAUAGAUGGGGUCUUGUUGUGUUGGCCAGGCUGGCCACAAAUUCCUGGUCUCAAGUGAUCCUCCCACCUCAGCCUCUGAAAGUGCUGGGAUUACAGAUGUGAGCCACCACAUCUGGCCAGUUCAUUUCCUAUUACUGGUUCAUUGUGAAGGAUACAUCUCAGAAACAGUCAAUGAAAGAGACGUGCAUGCUGGAUGCAGUGGCUCAUGCCUGUAAUCUCAGCACUUUGGGAGGCCAAGGUGGGAGGAUCGCUUAAACUCAGGAGUUUGAGACCAGCCUGGGCAACAUGGUGAAAACCUGUCUCUAUAAAAAA
rnacentral:lncRNA from 1 species